rnacentral:rRNA from 1 species
AGCAGUAGCCGCGGGAACACGUAGGUGGCAAGCGUUGUCCGGAAUUAUUGGGCGUAAAGCGCGCGCAGGCGGAUCGGUCAGUCUGUCUUAAAAGUUCGGGGCUUAACCCCGUGAUGGGAUGGAAACUGCCAAUCUAGAGUAUCGGAGAGGAAAGUGGAAUUCCUAGUGUAGCGGUGAAAUGCGUAGAUAUUAGGAAGAACACCAGUGGCGAAGGCGACUUUCUGGACGAAAACUGACGCUGAGGCGCGAAAGCCAGGGGAGCGAACGGGAUUAGAUACCCCGGUAGUCCCUGUCUCUUAUACC